UCCAGCACAUUGUCACAGGCACCUGUAACCUAAUUUAAUGUCACUGAAAUGUAACGGGCCGUUAGCAAGGAUGUCAAGUGGGGAACGAGCAUCAAGUAGCAGGUGUUCGAGAGACCAUUUGUUGUUAAUCACACAGAACAUUCGUCAACUUCUCCCACAAACUCCUCCCAUGUGGAAGAAUUAUCCUCCCAUGAUAUGUUAACCUGGACUUCUCACAAUGAAGAGUAUUCCUCCAAUUCUCUCGGAAAUGGGAUCACAGAACUGGCAGGAUGCAAGAAGGAAAAGUCAUCAGAGGUAGAGGAAAGGCUCUCGGCACUGGAAGCUCAGCUAGACGGUCUUCUGUCUGGGAUGGACAGACUCAACAUCCUGGAGAAACGCCUGGAGACACUUGAAAAACAGAGAAUCACAGACAAGAAUGAAGGAGAAGUAAUCACUAUACCCAGAGAGAGCUGGGAAAACCUGAUGAGCAGAGUGCUGUUAUUGGAGACUAAACUAGAUCUGAGCAAUAUACAGUUGAGUGUGCCCCUGCCAUGUCCGCCAACUACCUCUUCCUCUUCUUGCACCACGUCUGAUGCCUCAAAGGAGGACCUCAAGGACAGACUGGAGAGAAUCACCAACAUGUUGAAGAGCACCUCCAGUCUGCUGAAGAACACAGAAUGA
ensembl:lncRNA